GCUGAUCGUCCACGCAGUUCCUCCUUCACGACGUGUUUCGUGAGGUGUUUGCAGUGUGUUUGGGGGGCUGUGAGGAGGAGGAGGAGGGAGGCUGUGGUGAGGAGGAGACUUGACAACACUACCAUCGCCAUCAGGCCAGGCUAAGGCCAAACAGUGCAGAGGAGAAGGAGGAGGAGGAGAAGAAGGAGGAAGAAGAAGAGGAGGAUGUGAGUUCUAUACAUAAAGGCAGAUCAAUAUAUAGAAGCUUAUGGAGUAGAGGAAAUAUGUCAUUCUAUGUAUUAAAGAGGAUAAGAGGGAGGAGAAGGUUAACUUGUAAAUAUAGGCAGAAGUUUAUGUGCCAAGGAAAAUAUUUAAAUGAUUUGUAUUAUGCAUGUAUUGAAAUGGUAUGAACUUGGAUGUUUGUAUGUAUAUGGCUAUGGGAUUUACUUACAAGGUCUGUGGUGUUUUUUUUACUUAUAAGGUUGUACUCAGGAUUUUACUUAUAAGUUCUGUGGCUGUGGGUAACUCCUACAAACCCUUUCUACUAUGGCUAUUAAUUAACAAAAUCCUCUUUCUUUCAGCUUGUGUACUGGCUCAGAAAGUAGUGAAAGGGUGCAUGUUAUCUAUGAAGGCUAUAUCAAUAAGUAUGGAAGUGUGUUAUGGCUAUUAACAACAAUCUCUCUUUCAGCAUGUGUACGGGGUUAGAAAGUUACUUGGCAUAUAUUGAAAUGUCAUGCACUGAGAGUAUUUACGUAAAGGGCCGGGGUUAUUUCUUAUAAGGUACUACGCAUGAUUUUACAUAUACAGCCUUUAGUGUUUCUUUAGGUUAAGGUAUUUCCUAUCCCAGCAUGUAUAAGCAACUUGGGUAUGGAUUUAUGUGUGAGUUACUGAGUUGCAUGUAUACUAAAAUGUGUAUUUGGGAUUUUCGUCUUCUGUGUUUUAUAUAUAUAUAUCCUAAGAAUGGUGUUUUGUUGGGAAAAAAAUUUAUGCACUGGGGUUAUUUAUAUACAAAGUCUGUGGUUAUUUCUUCAUAAGGUAUUUCCUAUCCCAGUACGUAUAAGAAACUUGGGUAUGGUUUUAUGUGUGAGUUACUGAGUUGCAUGUAUACUAAAAUGUGUAUUUGGGAUUUUCGUCUUCUGUGUUUUAUAUAUAUAUAUAUCCUAAGAAUGGUGUUUUGUUGGGAAAGAAUGUUAUGCACUGGGGUUAUUUAUAUACAAAGUCUGUGGUUAUUUCUUCAUAAGGUAUUUCCUAUCCCAGUACGUACAAGAAACUUGGUAUGGAUUUAAAUGUGCGUGUUACUGAGUUGCAUGUGUAUGUGUAUUCAAUGUAUUGGGGCAUAUAUUGUGUAUUGGGGGUAUUUAUUUCAAGGUUACUGAAUGGAGGGGAAUUUAUGUAGGGGAAAGGUCUGUAGUGGGGGUGUCAUAACUAACAGCCUCUCCUGCAACAACUCCUACUGGUGCUUGUGUAUAGAUUUAAUUAUGUAUUGGAGAUAUGUAUUUGAAGGUUAAGAUACUGGAUGGAAGGGUAUUUAUGUUGGGGUAAUAUGAUAAUGUCUGUAGGGAUUUGUCUUAACUUAACAACCCCUUCUGCAAUAACUACUACUACUACUGGUGCUGUCCAUAACUUACAACACUUCCGUACUAGGAGUAUUAACAAAACCUUUUAAUUUUAGCUACCAAGGACAACCUCUGCUGCUCUGGGUAUCAACUCCUGCACUCCUGGGACUGGCAUAACAUCUGCAUGCCCUUGUAACAACUCACUCUGCUUCUGCUAUUCAUAACACCCCGUUCUGCGUCUGCUGUCGUAACAAAUGGCAUGGCUUCUGUAUACUAACUCCUGCUCGCUUCUAGCUUUCGUAUCAACACAUUCUGCGCCUUCCUUCGUAACUAAUCCCACGGCUUCUCUGCAUGACAACUCCAGCUGCUUUCGGCAAAAUUUCGCAUAACAAUUACUCCUGCUUAAGUAUGACAAUUCUCUCUGGGUUUCGUAACAGCACGUAUGGCUUUUGCAUGUGAACGCAUUUCAUUUCUGCUGCUCACUAACCCACACUGCUGGUUUGAGUAUCCUAACGACCUAACCCAUUCUGUAAGCUGCCGCCCAGUGCUUCAGGUGACCCCUAACAAGCCUGUCGGAUCGGCGUCUAGCGAGGGAGGUUCCGUCAGGUUCCGAUCCCCGCUAGAGCUGUCUCCCUUCACCUUAAAAAAAUUAGUUUGACAUAAUUUGAGAGCAGCAGUACAGGCCAGGUAUCAGAGAGGGGUUCAGGCCUAUAUGGGGACACCUCUGUUAGGCUUGUACCUCAAUAAAUAACUAGAAAAAAGUUGGAAAGUGUUAAACAAUGACCAUACGUUACCUAGUCAUGUGUGAAUCCUGACUAUGGAGGGAGAUUAUCCUCAAACACGUACGGUUUUAUAUAUACAUGUCUUUUACCCACCCAUGCGUGCAGUACGGGUGGUGAACUCUGACCUCUAUGAAAUAAAUAUACGUAACAGGAAAAAAAUAAAUUGGUUUAAAAUAUAUUUCCCUCAUCCAUAUUCGGCAGCAGAUAUGUACAGGUUGAAAAAACGGGUUGAUAUCUGAUGUUUGACCCCACAGUUGACCGUUCGUCCCUGCGUCUGGGAUCGCUACGUCAACAUCUUCGGCCGACGUCUCCACCUUAGGGUUGAGUGUCCGUCUCUGCGUCUUUGUGUACCUGCGUUAAAAUCUUCACCACCAUGUGACGUUGAGUCUGGCGGGCGUUGUUUUGGAAUCUCGAGACGGCAAUUUCCCACGGCUGUUAAGGGUAUGGGUCAGGCUGUCAUGGGUGGCUGUUAAGGGUAUGGGUCAGGCUGUCAUGACUGGCUGUUACGUAAGCCUCGUCACGGUGUCAAGGCUCGUAAAACCACCCUUGGAAAUACUAGCAACACAGCGUAUAUGGAAAGCCUUCAAGUGAUGUAGUGACUCGUGGAAAUAUUUGCAACCUAACAUAUUUCGCCCGGUGGUGGUGGUGGUAGGGAUCAUGUUUCUUAAUGGUCCCUCUAAGCGAGAAAAAUGAGAAAAAAUCAUCACACACAAACCAUUUCAUAAUAUAUAUCAAAGCAUUUGCGAUCACAUUAUGCAUCAUCUAUUUUGGGGGGGUUAUAUCAAGGCACAAAUUUCAGUUGUAUGUCUGUUUAUUGAGGGGACUGUUUGGGUCUUGUAUUUUCUGUUGUAUAUUUCCAAGGCCAAAAAGGUCAGUAAUUGGGUUCUCAAUGAUGUUUUUUUAGGUUGAUGGUACAGAGGAAGGGUCAUAAAAGCACCCUUGUCUGUUUUUGUUUUUGUUUUUUGGGUUUUUUUGUUUUUUUACGUCAUGGCCUAUUGCUCCGGUAAGCUUCUUCCCAGUGGAUCCUGAUGGUCGGCCCAAGGCUUCUUCCCGGUGGGGCCUGAUGGUCGGCCCAGCCCAUUCUGGUGCAGGCAAGUGUUUAUAGUGGUGCCAUCUUGCAUUGACUCAUGCUGCCCUCCCGGAGCUCAUCUUUAAUCCUAGAAUCUAGAGUCCGGGUUGAUAGGUGGUCUUCUGGACAGCAUGUGGGUAGUUUUAACCUGAUAGCAGCGGGGAUCAUGUUUCUUAAUGGUCCCUCUAAGCGAGAAAAAUGGAAAAAAAUCAUCACUCACGCAAACCAUUUCAUAAUAAUAUAUAUCAGCAUUUGUGAUAAUUUUAUGUAUCAUCUAUUUUGGGGGGUUCAAAUCAUGGCACAAAUUUAGCCCAUCGCUGCUACACGGUAAAGCCACAAAUUUGGUUCCUUCCCUCCCAUCGUAAGUCUCUCCUCCUCCUCCCUGCCCCAAAACCUUAAUAGUGUAUUAUCCUUACCUGUGUUAGGAUAAUAGGCUACUGGUGUGAUAAACUAAAUCUCUCAUUAUAACCUUUCUCCUCUUCUGUUCAAAGCUAAAAACCUAAUCUUUUUCCCUCUUCCUAUAGCUCAAGCCCAUCCAUAGGGGGGGGGAUUGAGGUCUAGCACUGUCUUGGAUAAAAAUGUGAGAGGAUUAUCCCAGCUUAGCUCAGGCCCUUGGAAACCACUUAUAGGGAAAUACAUGUAAGGUUGUGUCUACAGGUCAGCUAGUAUUCCUCCUGUCUCAUAAUGCUUAUAGUUUUUGCCUUCAACACUGAUUUGAUAACAAGGUGCCAAUGCUCAGGUGAGGGAAAGUGCAUGUGUGUGGGUGGGUCGGACAGAGAGCUUUACUAUAUGAAAAGGCUUUGUAUACUCAGAAUUUGCCAUGUUUAACCCUUGAAAGCUUAGUUCUGGCUAGAUAUCAAGCUCUAAGGCAUCACAUUGAGCAAGGGUUGUUGUAGGAGAAUCAAUUAUUUCCCCAUACAGUAUUUAAAGAGACUGACUAUUUGGAAAGGCUUCGUACACUCAGAAUUUGCCAUGUUUAACCCUUGAAAGCUUAGUUCUGGCUAGAUACCAAAGCUUUAAAGCAUCACAUUGAGCAAGGGUUUGUGUAGGAGAAUUAAUUACUUCCCCAUACAGUAUUUAAAGAGACUGACUAUUUGGAAAGGCUUCGUACACUCAGAAUUUGCCAUGUUUAACCCUUGAAAGCUUAGUUCUGGCUAGAUAUCAAGCUCUAAAGCAUCACAUUGAGCAAGGGUUGAUGUAGGAGAAUCAAUUACAUCCCCACUCAGUAUUUAAAGAGACUGACUAUUUGAAAAGACCUUGUACUCUCAGAAUUUGCCAUGUUUAACCCUUGAAAGCUUAGUUCUGGCUAGAUAUCAAAUUCUAAAGCAUCACAUUGAGCAAGGGUUGAUGUAGGAGAAUCAAUUACCUCUCCAUACAGUAUUUAAAGAGGGAAUUUGACCUUUUGAAAAGGCCUCGUACACUCAGAAUUUGCCAUUUUUAAUACUUGAAAGCUUAGCACUAGUAUAUUUACAAGCUCUUAGGCAUCACAUUGAGCGAGGGAAAUAUCUCGAGGGGCAAAGAAGUUCAUAGGAGAAUUAAUGACCUCCUCAAACAACAUAUAUAAGAAGGGAUUUGACUAUUUAAAAAGGCCUCAAACAUAGAAUUUGCCAUGUCUCUACAGUUGAAGGUCCAGCACUGCUUUUAGUCAAAGUUCUCAAGCUUAAAAAAUAACACGCUUGAUGUAAAGGAAUGAAUUAUCUCCCCAAAACUAUUUAAAGAGAGAUUUUGAGUGCUUGAAAAGGCCUCAGACUCAUAGAAUUUGCCACGUCCUUACAGUUGAAGGUCCAUCGCUGCUUUUAGUCAAAGUCAAUUAAAAAUAACAGAGGAUUGAUGUAGAAGAAUGAUUUACCUGCCCAAACAGUAUGUACCCAGCCCCCUCAAGUACCCAGUGCAUUCCCACCCCCAGUCUCGGCUCCAAAUUACCUUUAUUCUGGGGGUCAAAGACAUUAUAUAUAAGUGUUUUCCCUUCCUGUGUCAGCCCUAAGACCCUCAGGCCCCCAGUAAUUGGUCACCUAACCUAUCCAAGCAGGUGUCUUAGCAUAAUACUGGCGGUAACAUUUUAAUUAACCUUUCCAAUGAGCAAAAACAAUUAAUAUGGAACUGAAUCAAAUAUCCCCAGCAAUUAAGUCUCCACUUUGUUAUGUAACAUUAGUAAGGGUUCCAGUAUAUGUUAGAUAAUUACUAGCAUUGUCAAGAACAGUUUUAAUAGCCUUGCCAAGGGUUGGCCGAGAAAACAAUAUUAUAACAAGCACUGAACUAAUUCUUGAGUAAUUGGACUGAGAAAGCCUUGAUGGUACUCUAUUUUUGCUAUAUUAUAAAAAGUCUAUAAGCGAUGCCUUGGAAAGCUACCAUAAGCAAGGGUUGGUCAAGAUUAUUGAUGUCCAAGCUAUUAAUUAUAUGUAUUUUCUCUUACCUGAAGCCCCCUAGCUCAAGCCCCCAGACCCUCGAUCAGCCUCUUCCAGACCCCCCCAGUAGCUACCUUAUUUUCUGGGGGAUCAAAACCAUUAAUUAUGUGUUAGUUUUGAUAAUUACCUGACAUUAAGUCUUCCCAUGGGCAGUGUCAGCAUUUGUGAAGCCUUAAUUAUCAUGAGCAUAGUUUUAUAUCAAGCACUAACUCUUGGGUAAGACUUUGAGAAGGUCUUAAUGUACUCAAUCUUUGGCAUAUAAAAACAAGUCUAGCAAUGCCUUAGGAAGAUACCAUGAGCAAGGGGUGAGUUAGGAAACUGAUAUACCUAUCCCUCAAUACUGCAUAGACAAUGGAUCGAGGGCUUGUUCAGUAUAUAUAUAUCAGGCACAAAGACAUAUUACUGAACCUUCCACCAUGAGCAAGGGAUGAGUUAGCAGCUUGAUAUAUAUUCCUUAAUACUGCAAAAAUAAUGGAAAGAGGGCUUGUUCAAUAUAUAUUAUCACUCAUAUAGGUUACAAUUGUCCAUCUUUUAGUUUAUCAAAGACAUAUUACUGAACCUUCCACCAUGAGCAAGGGAUGAGUUAGCAGCUUGAUAUAUAUUCCUUAAUACUGCAAAAAUAAUGGAAAGAGGGCUUGUUCAAUAUAUAUUAUCACUCAUAUAGGUUACAAUUGUCCAUCUUUUGAGUUAGUUUAUCAAAGACAUUACUGUAUCUUGUACCAUGAGCAAGGGCCUUAGGGUGACUUAUAGGAGAUAGUUAUACAUUCCUAUGUAUUUCAUAGAGGAAAGGAAGAGAUCUAGAAUGAUAUAUAUUCUAAGGGUUCUUCAUCUCUUAUAGUUAAUUAGUUCAGCAGUGAAAAUCAGUUUUAUGCUGAGUGCUGAGUAGCCUUGAUGUCGAUCGGCCAACACGUACCUCAAGUCAGCAUGCAUUUGUGUUAUAAGGUCAAUAAACUCAUGGCCCAGAAUCAGUCAGCAUUUAUGA